ACACAUGCAAGUCGAGCGGUAACAGGGGUAGCUUGCUACCCGCUGACGAGCGGCGGACGGGUGAGUAAUGCAUAGGAAUCUGCCCGAUAGUGGGGGAUAACCUGGGGAAACCCAGGCUAAUACCGCAUACGUCCUACGGGAGAAAGGGGGCUUCGGCUCCCGCUAUCGGAUGAGCCUAUGUCGGAUUAGCUAGUUGGUGAGGUAAAGGCUCACCAAGGCGACGAUCCGUAGCUGGUCUGAGAGGAUGAUCAGCCACAUCGGGACUGAGACACGGCCCGAACUCCUACGGGAGGCAGCAGUGGGGAAUAUUGGACAAUGGGGGGAACCCUGAUCCAGCCAUGCCGCGUGUGUGAAGAAGGCCCUCGGGUUGUAAAGCACUUUCAGUGAGGAAGAACGCCUGGUGGUUAAUACCCAUCAGGAAAGACAUCACUCACAGAAGAAGCACCGGCUAACUCCGUGCCAGCAGCCGCGGUAAUACGGAGGGUGCGAGCGUUAAUCGGAAUUACUGGGCGUAAAGCGCGCGUAGGUGGCUUGAUAAGCCGGUUGUGAAAGCCCCGGGCUCAACCUGGGAACGGCAUCCGGAACUGUCAAGCUAGAGUGCAGGAGAGGAAGGUAGAAUUCCCGGUGUAGCGGUGAAAUGCGUAGAGAUCGGGAGGAAUACCAGUGGCGAAGGCGGCCUUCUGGACUGACACUGACACUGAGGUGCGAAAGCGUGGGUAGCAAACAGGAUUAGAUACCCUGGUAGUCCACGCCGUAAACGAUGUCGACCAGCCGUUGGGUGCCUAGCGCACUUUGUGGCGAAGUUAACGCGAUAAGUCGACCGCCUGGGGAGUACGGCCGCAAGGUUAAA
rnacentral:rRNA from 1 species